rnacentral:misc_RNA from 1 species
CGAAGAGGGUGCUGCGGCACAGCGUCCUUCCCUUCCGUGUUGGUGCGUCUAUGAGUGUCUGUGUCGCUCGUCGGACGUGCACAGAGCGACGGCCUCACCACCACCCACAAACACACGCACAUGGCUUGAAAACCGUUUAAAUACGCGCAGUCGUGUCAGCAGAGCAAGUCUUUCCAUGGUCGCUAUAGAGCUAUCUAUCCCAGCCGAUCCUGGUGUCUUCUUUUCUAAACUGUCAUUAAGGCUACUAAACACACACAAACAGACGAGCAGAGCACGCACCUCCCGCUCAAAUCGAGGUAGCGCUCUUUCGGUUCUGAUUUCCAUCCUGCGGCUCGCGUGCCUCCCUCGCACCGAGCGCGCCAGGGCAACGACCGCCUCCCCGCACUGUCGAGAGGACACAUUUUGCCGCUUCUCUCUCGCCAUCAUUCUCUUUGGCAUUCUCCCCCCCACCCCCGACGCAGUGUCCGUUGACGCCCUCCCCCUUCUCACUCAAGUUCUUCGACGGGUUCACGCAGAUAAGCAAUGGGGCUGCCAGGCUGGAUGCGGCGGUGUGAGAUCUAUGCGAUCUGCAUGGUGUGGCCCAUCGCCACCGUUGUGGGGCUCGUAGGCACCUACCGUCUCUUCAUGUGGAGCUACGGCGGUCGUGAGUGCUUCCGCUACGUUGCCAUUCAGGAGCCGUUUAAGGAGGAGUGGUAUCAGGCGAACCCCAAGUCGGCGCUUGGUAUGGACACGCCACUCUCGCACGUGCCCAAGUACCUGGAGACGCCAGGGUACACCGUCGACGGGGCCACGGACGAUCAUCCACACCACCGCAACUUCUAAGCGAGCACAUAAGGGGAUGUCAGCGACUCGCCGAUCAUACCGUGGGCUCUCUCGCAGCGCCCGUGCUCAUUGUCGUGUUCCAGCAGCUGUGCUUUCUUCACCUGACCGUUCCCUUUGCCCCCCCCCCCCGUGCGCAUCCGCGUGCGGGCGUCAAGGGGGCACCGAGCUGCGGUGCUUGUCGGUGCCUACUCACGAUUUUCUUGCAUGAUCGCACACGACUACUCGUGCGAGGGUGGCGGUGCUGCUUGAAGGGAACUACCGUGUUACCCUAAUCGCGUUCUGUUGCGGUGCUCUGUGUUUGUGUGUGUGGGUGUCUACAUGCUCCUUUGCGUGAUUGCAGUGCUCG